rnacentral:rRNA from 1 species
UAGGGAAUAUUGGGCAAUGGACGCAAGUCUGACCCAGCCACGCCGCGUGAAGGAUGACUGCCCUAUGGGUUGUAAACUUCUUUUAUAUGGGAAGAAACCCCCGAACGUGUUCGGGGCUGACGGUACCAUAAGAAUAAGCAUCGGCUAACUCCGUGCCAGCAGCCGCGGUAAUACGGAGGAUGCAAGCGUUGUCCGGAUUCAUUGGGUUUAAAGGGUGCGUAGGCGGAAAAUUAAGUCAGUGGUGAAAACUUGCAGCUUAACUGUAAAAAUGCCAUUGAAACUGAUUUUCUUGAGUUCGAUUGAGGUAGAUGGAAUGUAUCAUGUAGCGGUGAAAUGCUUAGAUAUGAUACAGAACACCAAUUGCGAAGGCAGUCUACUAAGUCGAUACUGACGCUGAGGC